UACAGGGGGGGCAAGCGUUGUUCGGAAUUACUGGGCGUAAAGGGCGCGUAGGCGGCCGCCUAAGUCAGACGUGAAAUCCCUCGGCUCAACCGGGGAACUGCGUCCGAUACUGGGUGGCUUGAAUCCGGGAGAGGGAUGCGGAAUUCCAGGUGUAGCGGUGAAAUGCGUAGAUAUCUGGAGGAACACCGGUGGCGAAGGCGGCAUCCUGGACCGGCAUUGACGCUGAGGCGCGAAAGCCAGGGGAGCAAACGGG
rnacentral:rRNA from 1 species